GACGAACCGUGCGAACGUUGUUCGGAAUCACUGGGCUUAAAGGGUGCGUAGGCGGGUUGUCCAGUCUGGGGUGAAAUACCACGGCUCAACCGUGGAAUUGCCUCAGAUACAGACGACCUCGAGGGAGGUAGGGGCGAGCGGAACUGUGGGUUGAGCGGUGAAAUGCGUUGAUAUCCACAGGAACUCCGGUGGCGAAGGCGGCUCGCUGGACCUCUUCUGACGCUGAGGCAAGAAAGCUAGGGGAGCAAACGGG
rnacentral:rRNA from 1 species